rnacentral:ribozyme from 1 species
UGAAACAAAAAAAAAAAAAAAAAAAAAAAAAAAAAA